GUUUUGUUCGCGUGCUGGCAUAGGACUCUAGAAAAGGUUUGUUACACAUCACGUUCUCUUCCAGCCUCACUCGGGAUACAUGGUAUGGUGAAUGCAUUUGUACAUAUACUGAAGGAGGAGAUGAUCAAUGGAAGGUCUCUGCUGGAUUUGGCACAUUACUUUGCCCACUUCCUUGGCCCAACCAAGAGGACCAGCAGCUAUAAUGGCUGCUGGCUUGUGAACUCGGAAAGCUCCCAAACCCAAAGCCUGCCAAGCCGGAGGAGGCCAUGAAGAAAAGCCGCAGUGUUCUUGCGGUGACUCCGGAUGAGAAACCCAAGGAUACUUUGGACCCCAACUGGUGCAGCCGCUCUUGUACAUCCUCCAACAUGCUGGGUGCCGAUCUGCGGCGGGGCCGUCGACGUCUCUCCUCCAACCUACAGGUCUCACCAUGGAAACCUGGAGACAGAGCCCGCUCACCAGAACCAGACAAUGUUCAGCGACCGACCACUUUGCCACUACGAAUCCCUCCCCGAAUUUCCAUAACUCAUGCUGACCCAGACAGGUAAGGCGAAAGAAUGUUACAAGUUAAUCUGAGAAACAAGCAAAGGAGCACCAGGUUGUAAUG
rnacentral:lncRNA from 11 species